GUAACAACAGGGAAUAUAGGAUAACCUACCCUGAGGACCAGGAGAUGGAGCAUUCCCAGGCCACAGAAGCAUAAGUGCAGGCACCAAGGGCUGCUCUAACCUGCUCUGGCUUUCAAAGUGGCUUCUGCCAAACAGCUAGGAUAUAGUGGCCAAACCCUUGGGAAAAAAAAUAACUGCAGCCUCCCUAAGCAGCAGGACAAGGAAGCAGGGGCUGGCGUGGCAGGGGGAAGGCAGGGCAGAAGAAGAGGGCUAAAUGCUGUGGUAUUCAGGGCAGGCUGGGAGAGAGCUCAGCGAUAUGGCCCAGCCCAUUCUGAUCAGGAAGGUCACAGCCCUAGAAAAAGGUGAGCAACACUUACUUGGUCUUGGAGAUGACCCAGUAUAGCCAUAACCCUCCCUCCAGAGCCUUCAGCUCUUGAGUAGGAAAGGGGAAUGGUGAUUCCCGGACCUGUCAGCUAUGGAAUCCAGGCAAAACAGUGACAUCCUUUCUUGGAAUCACCCCCUCAAUAAAAGGAGUGGGCUUUUAAGACCCUUACGCUGGGCAUGGUAGUGCUUGCCUACAAUCCCAAGCACAGGCCAGCCUCAGCUACGUAAGACGUUCAAGGCCAGCCUAGGGUACACGACAACCUGUCUCAAAUUAUACAAAACCAAAUCUAUACUUAAGUCUGAGGACAAAGAAUGAGAGAAGAGCAAGCCAGGAUCAGGGAAGCAGAGAGGUGGACUCUGGACACAUUUCAGUUGGAGAGGACUGAGGAAACUCAGACCUCACAGAACCUGGGACCAUGAGAAAUGGUUGGGGAGGCCUCAGUAGAGGUGAGUGAGAUGGAAUACAAAUAUUGGGAAGUAUAUGUUCUCCAGACUCUAGUAACAGCUCCCUCUGAACAAAACCAGACCCUCUUCCCAGGGGAUCUCACAAGGCCCAGAGGCAGGACCUUGGAAGCACAACUAGGGUUGCCCAAAAAGCUCCUCCAAAGGGCUAGGUGUUCCUAGUGGCCUGCUAAUACCAGUCAUUAAACAGAGCCCAAGGAUCAGAGGAAGGAAUGCCAACAAGAUGACCAAGCCAGCAGAGAGAAGAAGCAAGAAAGGACACAGGGAAGAGCCAACACUGACACGCUCUGGCAACAAGAGACCUUAAAUCCACGAGGCCAGAACAGGAUGUCAGAGAGCAACAUGAGCUCUCCAAAACUCAAAGGUUUAAUGAAAUUGAGGCUCAGAAGUGAGUACAGUUGCGUCAGGCCUUCCAAGGGUUGCAAGUCAAGAGGCCAGAGCGAAGCCUGUGAAGCGAGGGCACAGUCCGCACUCAAUCCCCAUAGCUCCCUACUCUGAUUCUGUGUCAGCCCACCCAGAGAGGAAAGCAUGGGCAAUCACACACUCCCUGCUCCUGUAAUGGAUCCUGUACCAGGAGAAAAACUGGCUGUGGCAACUGACAUCAGGAACAGAAAAAAUCCAUUCAAGUAUGGUUAACAGCCCAGUUGCAUCCUGUAAGAGAAAACCACGUUUUAAAGCAAGAGCUCAGGACUAAGGGAUAACCCUGCAGAUUACUCGCAACUGCCGAAGACAGCAACCUAAGCAAGCUUGAAUCAACCUGGGAAACCUGUGGGAAAGCUUUCACGUGAAAAUCGGCACAAAGACAACAGAGCUCCCUCUAGCUGGAGGGUGGAAGCGUGAGGGAAGCAGGGCUGGAGCCAGUACACAGGGAAAGCAGCUCUCUCUGAAAGGCUUUUUCACGUGAGUCACAGAACACAGGCAGGUGAGCAGGAAGAGCCUGCCUAGAGACAAUGGCUGUGGCAGAAUUCCAGGCAACCUUAGUUCAGGCGGCCCAGAGGCUGCCUACAGGGUGUUGGGUGGGUGUGGCAGAUGAGAAUGGUGACAAAAAAUGUGGGCACAACUGCAUUGGCAGUUGCAGAGACCUGGCAGGACCCAACUGAACAAGAGAGAGGAGGAUUCCCUCACACCCACGUGGAGGGAGCCCAGAUUCGGGUGAAGGAAAUGUUCCUGCCCCUGGGGGGUGGGCCCCUUUGCUCAGGCAUAGAGCAGCCUGACCUCACCUUGUGAUAAACCUCUGGUGGGGAAGUAACCAGGGUGGGGCAGAAGGAGGUGACACCGUGGGACAGGAUCCUCCGGGCCACUAGGGCGACCCCAGAACCCACGUCCUCCGUAGCCCUGGAGAAGUCAACACCAAAUCCACCUGUGG